AGGACGAACGCUGGCGGCGUGCUUAACACAUGCAAGUCGAGGGCACUUUGGGGGCAACUCUGGAGUGACCGGCGAACGGGUGCGUAACACGUGAGCGACCUUGCCUCGUGGUGGGGGAUAGCCGGCCCAACGGCCGGGUAAUACCGCAUAUGGUAGUUUCUUCGCAUGGGGAGACUAGCAAAGCCUUGGAGCAAUCCAAUGGCGCCACAGGGGGGGCUCGCGGCCUAUCAGCUAGUUGGGGGGUAAUGGCCUACCAAGGCGACGACGGGUA
rnacentral:rRNA from 1 species